rnacentral:pre_miRNA from 1 species
AUAGCAUUUCGUUCGUCGGUCUACCGAGCAAUAUCACCCGCUCGGUGGAAGAUCUUCCCUUUGUCGU